rnacentral:snRNA from 1 species
UUGCUUCAGCAGCACAUAUACCAAAAUGGGAAUGAUACAGAGAUUAGCAUAGCCCCUGCACAAGGAUGCCAUGCAAAUUCAUGAAUCAUUCCAUGUUUUA